AUUGAACGCUGGCGGCAUGCCUUACACAUGCAAGUCGAACGGUAACAGGUCUUCGGAUGCUGACGAGUGGCGAACGGGUGAGUAAUACAUCGGAACGUGCCCGAGAGUGGGGGAUAACGAGGCGAAAGCUUUGCUAAUACCGCAUACGAUCUCAGGAUGAAAGCAGGGGACCGCAAGGCCUUGCGCUCACGGAGCGGCCGAUGGCAGAUUAGGGAGUUGGUGGGAUAAAAGCUUACCAAGCCGACGAUCUGUAGCUGGUCUGAGAGGACGACCAGCCACAAUGGGACUGAGACACGGCCCAGACUCCUACGGGAGGCAGCAGUGGGGAAUUUUGGACAAUGGGCGCAAGCCUGAUUCAGCCAUGCCGCGUGCAGGAUGAAGGCCUUCGGGUUGUAAACUGCUUCUGUACGGAACGAAACGGUCCUGGUUAAUACCUGGGGCUAAUGACGGUACCGUAAGAAUAAGCACCGGCUAACUACGUGCCAGCCGCCGCAGUAACAC
rnacentral:rRNA from 1 species